UUUGAUCCUGGCUCAGGACGAACGCUGGCGGUGCGCCUAACACAUGCAAGUCGAAUGAGCGAGAGAGAGCUUGCUUUCUCAAGCGAGUGGCGAACGGGUGAGUAACGCGUGUGGAACCUGCCUCAAAGAGGGGGACAACAGUUGGAACGGACUGCUAAUACCGCAUAAGCCCACGACCCGGCAUCGGGUAGAGGGGAAAAGGAGCAAUCCGCUUUGAGAUGGCCUCGCGUCCGAUUAGCUAGUUGGUGAGGUAAUGGCCCACCAAGGCGACGAUCGGUAGCCGGACUGAGAGGUUGAACGGCCACAUUGGGACUGAGACACGGCCCAGACUCCUACGGGAGGCAGCAGUGGGGAAUAUUGCACAAUGGGGGAAACCCUGAUGCAGCGACGCCGCGUGGAGGAAGAAGGUCUUCGGAUUGUAAACUCCUGUUGUUGAGGAAGAUAAUGACGGUACUCAACAAGGAAGUGACGGCUAACUACGUGCCAGCAGCCGCGGUAAAACGUAGGUCACAAGCGUUGUCCGGAAUUACUGGGUGUAAAGGGAGCGCAGGCGGGAAGACAAGUUGGAAGUGAAAUCCAUGGGCUCAACCCAUGAACUGCUUUCAAAACUGUUUUUCUUGAGUAGUGCAGAGGUAGGCGGAAUUCCCGGUGUAGCGGUGGAAUGCGUAGAUAUCGGGAGGAACACCAGUGGCGAAGGCGGCCUACUGGGCACCAACUGACGCUGAGGCUCGAAAGUGUGGGUAGCAAACAGGAUUAGAUACCCUGGUAGUCCACACUGUAAACGAUGAUUACUAGGUGUUGGAGGAUUGACCCCUUCAGUGCCGCAGUUAACACAAUAAGUAAUCCACCUGGGGAGUACGACCGCAAGGUUGAAACUCAAAGGAAUUGACGGGGGCCCGCACAAGCAGUGGAGUAUGUGGUUUAAUUCGACGCAACGCGAAGAACCUUACCAAGUCUUGACAUCCUGCGACGGACAUAGAAAUAUGUUUUUCCUUCGGGACGCAGAGACAGGUGGUGCAUGGUUGUCGUCAGCUCGUGUCGUGAGAUGUUGGGUUAAGUCCCGCAACGAGCGCAACCCUUAUGGUCAGUUACUACGCAAGAGGACUCUGGCCAGACUGCCGUUGACAAAACGGAGGAAGGUGGGGAUGACGUCAAAUCAUCAUGCCCUUUAUGACUUGGGCUACACACGUACUACAAUGGCGUUAAACAAAGAGAAGCAAGACCGCGAGGUGGAGCAAAACUCAGAAACAACGUCCCAGUUCGGACUGCAGGCUGCAACUCGCCUGCACGAAGUCGGAAUUGCUAGUAAUCGCAGAUCAGCAUGCUGCGGUGAAUACGUUCCCGGGCCUUGCACACACCGCCCGUCA
rnacentral:rRNA from 1 species